rnacentral:rRNA from 1 species
AACGAACGCUGGCGGCAUGCCUAACACAUGCAAGUCGAACGAGACCUUCGGGUCUAGUGGCGCACGGGUGCGUAACGCGUGGGAACCUGCCCUUAGGUUCGGAAUAACUCCCCGAAAGGGGUGCUAAUACCGGAUAAUGUCUUCGGACCAAAGAUUUAUCGCCUUUGGAUGGGCCCGCGUUGGAUUAGCUAGUUGGUAGGGUAAAAGCCUACCAAGGCGACGAUCCAUAGCUGGUCUGAGAGGAUGAUCAGCCACACUGGGACUGAGACACGGCCCAGACUCCUACGGGAGGCAGCAGUGGAGAAUAUUGGACAAUGGGCGAAAGCCUGAUCCAGCAAUGCCGCGUGAGUGAUGAAGGCCUUAGGGUUGUAAAGCUCUUUUACCCGGGAUGAUAAUGACAGUACCGGGAGAAUAAGCUCAGGCUAACUCCGUG